rnacentral:misc_RNA from 1 species
GAUGAAGAACGCAGCGAAAUGCGAUAAGUAGUGUGAAUUGCAGAAUUCAGUGAAUCAUCGAAUCUUUGAACGCACAUUGCGCCCCAUGGUAUUCCGUGGGGCAUGCCUGUUCGAGCGUCAUUUACCCCCUCAAGCUCCGCUUGGUGUUGGGCGUCUGUCCCGCUUCGCGCGCGGACUCGCCCCAAAGGUAUUGGCAGCGGUCGUGCCAGCUUCUCGCGCAGCACAUUGCGCUUCUCGAGGCACCGGUGGGCCCGCGUCCAUCAAGCUCACCCCCCCAGUUUGACCUCGGAUCAGGUAGGGAUACCCGCUGAACUUAAGCAUACCAAUAAGCGGAGGA